AUAUGCGAAAGGUUUGUGUCCUAGAACUUCUUAGUACAAAAAUGGUCAAAUCAUUUGCUUCAAUUCGACAAGAAGAGAUAUCAAAUCUCAUUUCAUCUCUCCGUUCUAAUACACCUGACUCAUUGACCAACUUAUCCAACAAGAUCUUUUGGUUUACGAAUACUGUAACUUGUAGGUCAGUAUCUGGAAAAAUCAUACAUGAUCGAAAUAAGUUUAUAAUAUUGAUAAAAGAUGUUUUUUCAUUAAUUGGAGGAUUUGACUUAACUGAUUUGUUCCCUUCCCAAAAGUGGCUUCAUAAUAUCAGUGGAAUGAAAUACAAAUUGUCAAAGGCACACUCAAAGGUUGAUGAAAUCUUGGAGCAAAUCGUUAAUGAUCAUCGAGAUAAUCGAGCAAAGGGUACGAAAUAUAAUGGUGAGUCUGGAAAUGAAGAUUUUGUUGAUGCUUUACUUAGAGUAAUGGAGAGCGAAGAAUUUGGACCUCCUAUCACAAAUCAAAACAUUAAAGCAGUCAUACUUGUAAGUCUAGUGCAUCUUUAAAGUAAUUUUAUUUCGUUUUAUGAAUCUAAACUUCGAUAUUUAUACUUUAACUUUAUAUGUAGGACAUGUUUCUAGCAGGAACUGAAACAACUUCUACAACAUUAAUUUGGGCAUUUUUAGAACUAAUGAAAAAUCCACGUGUCAUGGAGAAAGCACAACUCGAAGUGAGAGAACGAUUGAAUGGGGAAAAAAACAUUUAAUGAUACUGAUUUGGAAGAGUUGAACUACUUGCAAUUCGUUAUCAAAGAAACAUUAAGGCUACACCCUCCGGGUCCUCUGUUAAUCCCAAGGGAAUGUAGAGAAGAGACAAAGAUCAAUGGAUACACAAUACCUGUGAAAACUCAAGUUAUGGUUAAUGCAUGGUCGAUUGGUAGAGAUCCCAAAUAUUGGCAUAAUUCAGAAAGCUUUAUACCUGAGAGAUUUGAGAAUAGUAGUAUUGACUUUAGAGGAAGUCACUUUGAAUUUAUUCCAUUUGGAGCAGGAAGAAGAAUGUGUCCUGGAACUUUAUUUGGUUUAGUUAAUGUUGCACAUCCUUUAUCCCAAUUACUUUAUCACUUUGAUUGGAAGGUCCCUCAUGGAGUUAAUCCAAAUGAUUUGGACACGAUUGAAACAGAAGGAAUAACAGCCAGGAGAAAGAAUGAUCUUUAUUUAAUUGCUACUCCAUUUGGUCUCUAUAAAUAAAGAUCAUUUGCUUCAAUUCGACAAGAAGAGAUAUCAAAUCUCAUUUCAUCUCUCCGUUCCAGUUCCAGUACACCUGACUCAUUGAUCAACUUAUCCAACAAAUUGUAUAAUAGAGUAAUUUUUUUUUUUUUUUUGCAUGUAUCUGUAUUUUUCAUAUUUGUGACUUGUAAACAAUGAUCC
rnacentral:lncRNA from 1 species